AGAUUCCUUGCUUGAACCAGUAAGAAGUUGUAGUUCUGGACACUACAUAGUGGAGGUGCUCACCAAGAUGGAGAAAGAAGGGAAUGCACACUGAUGGAUCAUUGGUGGAAUUGCUGGCCAGCCUCAAGCAGCUGCAGCUUAAACAAAAGAAUAACAUUUUGGCAACUGGACGUGGAAAGGCUCUGCCCUUAUACCUUCUCCCGAGACCCGCUGGUGAGCGCGUGUUAGGUCCACGGUACCCUUAACACACGGAUAGACAAUCCACGUUCCAUCUCACCGGUUUGCUGGGACUCUGCAUACAACACCGGACCAAAUUCGAAAAAGAAGGAUUUGCCCUUGGAGUUCUAGGUCACCAGCUAGGAUCUUCCUUUGCACCUGUAGCAUAUCUAUCGAAGAAGCACCUGUAGCAUCUGUCGAAGAAGCUAGACCUGACUACUCAAGGAUGGGCAUCCUGCAUACAUGCUUUAGCAGCUGCUGAGCUUCUUAUCCGUGAGUCAAAGAAACUAACCUUUGGGACACCCAUCACUGUCUUCUCUCAUCACAACCUGCCCCAUCUCCUAACAUAUAGAGGCUUACAAACUCUACCUCCUUCCCAAGUUCUUUCCCUCCAGGUGGCAUUAGUAGAAGAUGCCAUGCUUACUUUCCAAUCUUGCCCACCCCUUAAAAUCUCAAAUCUU